rnacentral:rRNA from 1 species
GACAGAUGGGAGCUUGCUCCCUGAAGUCAGCGGCGGACGGGUGAGUAACACGUGGGCAACCUGCCUGUAAGACUGGGAUAACUCCGGGAAACCGGGGCUAAUACCGGAUAAUUCUUUCCCUCACAUGAGGGAAAGCUGAAAGAUGGUUUCGGCUAUCACUUACAGAUGGGCCCGCGGCGCAUUAGCUAGUUGGUGAGGUAACGGCUCACCAAGGCAACGAUGCGUAGCCGACCUGAGAGGGUGAUCGGCCACACUGGGACUGAGACACGGCCCAGACUCCUACGGGAGGCAGCAGUAGGGAAUCUUCCGCAAUGGACGAAAGUCUGACGGAGCAACGCCGCGUGAGUGAUGAAGGUUUUCGGAUCGUAAAACUCUGUUGUUAGGGAAGAACAAGUACCGGAGUAACUGCCGGUACCUUGACGGUACCUAACCAGAAAGCCAC